GUUGCUUCCUAAUGGUGAACUCCCUCGAAUAAAAAAGAUGAGGGAUGAUUCAAGUUUCCGAAGCAUAGAUGGAACAAUUAUCAUUUGAGUCAGUGUUAAACAGCGUCGGUGUCCUAAUUCGAGUUGCGCUGGCGCUACCUGUCUGCUGAUAUAUAU